AGAAUCAACGCUGGCGGCGUGCCUAACACAUGCAAGUCGCACGAGAAAGUGGAGCAAUCCACGAGUAAAGUGGCGCACGGGUGAGUAACACGUGAAUUAUCUACCUCCGAGUGGGGAAUAACUGAGAGAAAUCUUAGCUAAUACCGCAUAACACUUACGAGUCAAAGCAGCAAUGCGCUUGGAGAGGAGUUCGCGGCAGAUUAGUUAGUUGGCGGGGUAAUGGCCCACCAAGACGAUGAUCUGUA
rnacentral:rRNA from 1 species